GACAAAAUCGACUAUAAAUAAACAUCCCGGGACAACAGCAAGCCUUGGCUUGGAGGAUCAGCCGUCACCGCCGGGAUGGCAACAAGCAUCGUGCCGUUGGAUGAUGCGACAGGCAGUCGACGCAGGCCGUAGGUAGUAUGCCUACCCAUCGCUGGUGCCGUGUGGACUCGUCAUCGAGUGAACAAGGCAGAGCAGACGUGCUGUUCGACAGCGGUUCCGCAACAGUUGGACACCCACCACCCUCCAGGUUGGAUAUGUGGUUUUGACCGCAACCAAAACCAAAGAGUUAUUAAAUAAUUUUCCAACAAUGUGGUGUGGCGACGUUCUUCAAGUCAUCUCUUCGUCUGUCCUGCACUGGUCUUUUGCAAGCAAAUGUCAUCGAGAACCGACCGUGGAGCGGUCGGUUCUUGGAGGUGUGAUGAAGUUUCGAUUACGACAAGCAACCAGUAGCGUGAGUACUGCUGCCCUUCGGGGUGAAGAAAUGUGCACAUGAAGAAAGAAUUAGUGGAAAUUUGAAGCGAAUUGGCCAAUCGAAAUUAGCAUGUAACUAAGUGAAAUAGUUUGAUCCGCUUAAUAAAUUUUAAUGUUUUUUCGCGA